CGCUCCCAGGACAUCGAAGCCGUUGGUUACUCUAUUUACACUGUAAACUACAUUGUUGUAACAAUCAAAUACAUAAUCCUGCAAUUAUCAAUAAUCUUCAUAAACCCAUAAUUGGCGAACUAUCAGCAGUCAGUCUGAAUGAUCGAUAGAUCAUCGUUGCUGCUGCAUGAGUCAACGUGCAAGUGGUGUGAGUUUGUUACUUGACAGAUGCAGAUUGAAGUUGUUAUUCUUAAGGAGAUCGUGCAGGUGAUAUACUAUUCGUAACGAUUAAUGUUUGACAUGAGACAAUGAUGCCGAUCAAGGAUAAUCAGGAUGUCGCGUGUUUCCUGGUCACGAAGCACUCGUGGAAGGGAAAAUAUAAACGUAUUUUCUCCAUUGGAUCAAUGGGCAUAACAACUUAUAAUCCCAGCAAUCUAGAAGUGACUAACAAGUGGGAGUAUGCGGAUUUCAUUAGUGUACAGCCGACAAAUAGAAAUCAAAUUGGACUCUACGAGUUUAGUAUUACAAUGAGAAAAGAGAGGAAAGUUGAUACGAUGAAAUUCAGCUCAGAGCACAGAUCACAUUUGCUGACCGAGGCCCUCAGAUUCCGUAACCAGUUCGCUGAAAAGCCGAGAGAGAUACUAAGAUAUCCAGCCUACAAGCACCACUGGUCAGACACGAGGCUUCCAGUGGUUCUGGAGAUAACGCCUUACAGCCUGGAUCAGCUGGACCCAGCGACAAACGUCAUCCUCGCGAGUUAUUACUACAAGGACAUGGAAGGAAUUGGAACAAUGCGUGAUUACACCGAUGGUUUUGUGAUAGUAUGCGGUGGUUUUGGUCGUCUCCAUCUCUUCGCAUCCCAACACAUCGACGAGAUAAAACGUAAGAUCGUGGAGUCAGCGCAAAUGAACCUCGGUGUUAUGAUAAAAGUUCUGAAGGAGACAGUCCCAUUGGACGAAUUUCUUGUCCAGAGGUUCGGUAGGUUCAGUGGGGACGAGCACAUAACAAGUGUCUCUGAGUUCACUGUACAUAAAAUAUCCUCUAGACACUCGGACCCACAGAGGAGAACACUUUGCCUGUCGGAUACUUGUCUCCUCGAGAGAGAUCCACAGACCUACAACAUCUGCACCCUCAGACCUCUCUCUGACAUAUUCGCUCUGGUCAGGGAUAAUGCCAAUCCCCAAUUAUUUACUAUUCAGUACCUGAAUGGACAGAUGAGGAGUUACAUGGCCACUGAUCGUGAUUCUUUACUGGCCAGUCUGCUGGAUGGGGUCAGGGCGUCUGGCAAUCGUGAUGUACACGUGAAGAUGAGUCCCAUUGCGCGGGGUAAGAGACUGGGACCGCUGAAUUUACCUGUUGAUGAAGAGGUCGAGACGUCACAUGUCAAAUUUAUACAACAACCACCUGGUGGUAGAACCUUUGCUGAAAUUCUGGAGAGGUUCAAUGCUAACGUACCGUACAGUGGACUUCACUAUUCUGUUACUCAAGAUGUUUGCAAACCGCUUGAAUGGACUGUUACGACAAUGCAACUAGGUGUACACAGGGUGAUGAAUAACUACUUGCAGGGGUUAUUCACCGAGAAUAAGGAUAAAAUAAUCCUGGGUGCGUUGAGCUCAUUGGUGAGUAAAGAGCUGGAGACGAAUGCAGAAGUCGAGGCGCAGUUUCACGCUCUGAGAAGAUUGGUGGCAAGCAAAGUUGGCUUCAUGGCGUUCACAACGUUGCCUGGCUUUCGGGAGUCUAUCGGAAAUAAAGUUGUUAAGGCUUUGAAGAGACAGGAUUGCGGAGUUGCUCAGGCAGCCAUCGAUUGCAUCUGUGCUCUCAUGCAGGCAAUGCAUGAUGACUGUGAUUUGAGGCAGGAGCAAUUGAAUAAGAGCAGUUUGCUCAGUAGUAAUAAGUUUUUGGAAAGUUUGCUGGAUAUGUGGAUUGGUCAUGUUAAUCAUGGGACAGGAGCUCUGGUAGUAUCCGCCAUGCUGGAUUUAUUAACGUUCGCCUUGUGCGUGCCAUACAGCGAGACAACCGAUGGCAAACACUUUGAUAAUCUUCUGGAGAUGGUUGCAGCCCGCGGGCGCUCCCUCUUCAAGCUCUUCCAACACCCCUCCCUAGCAGUAGUUAAAGGCGCAGGCCUUAUAAUGCGAGCAAUAAUAGAAGAAGGUGCUGCGGAAGUGGCUGCAAAGAUGCAGGAGCUAGCUCUUGCAGAAGGAGCUCUACCUCGGCACCUCCUCAACAGUUUGUUCACAGUUAGUAGCGAUGGUAGGUUGCUCACCCACAGACAACUCUGCAGACACCUGGUGGGUCUCUGGGUCACUGGUUAUCCCACAGCAAUGGGUCUCCUCAAACGAAUCCUUCCAGUGGGUCUUCUCACAUACCUCGAUUCCGAGGAGAAAGUCCCAGACUCUUUCCUCGAAGAAGAGCGCCUGAACAACCGGGACAAUUUAAAAAUGGCAAUCGAUCAUGCCUCAAAGCACAAGCGUGGUCCCCAGUGGAUGGCAAUUGAGCGUCAGAUGCGGGUCGUCGAGAAACACCUGGAGAACGCUCUCCAGCACUGGGGGGCACGGGUGGGUAUCGAAAGACGAGAGAAGAUCAAGGAACGUCAACUCGUUCUUCGUAAACGUCGAGAGAGAAUAAAGUCCGAGGCAAACUGGAAGCUCUUCUACUACAAAUUCAAUCAAGACCACUCGAUGCCAAAUCUCAUCUGGAAUCACAAGACCCGAGAGGAGCUGCGAACAGCUCUGGAAAACGAAAUUCGUGCAUUCACUGCUGACAAAGAUCUCUCAGGUGGCACACUGAUAGCCUGGAAUCAUCGAGAAUUCGAGGUCCAGUAUCAGUGUCUCUCGGAUGAAGUAAAAAUCGGGGAUUACUAUCUGAGACUUCUUCUGGAGAAGGACUGCCCUGACAGCCCAAUCCGCAAAUCCUAUGAAUUUUUCAAUGAUCUUUAUCACCGAUUUCUGUUAACGACUAAAGUAGAAAUGAAGUGCCUUUGCCUGCAAGCUAUGACGAUUGUUUAUGGCCGCUAUUACGAGGACAUUGGCCCCUUCUCCGACACAAAGUACAUCGUUGGUAUGCUGGAGCGUUGUACAGACAGGGCUGAGCGUGACAGGCUUGUCAUGUUCAUCCACAAACUCAUACUUCACCGAAAAAACGUCAAAGAUAUAAUGGAUCAGAAUGGAGUUCGAGCACUGGUGGAUAUCCUGGCCCUGGCGCACCUGCACACAUCUCGAGCAGUUGUUCCAACACAGACAAAUGUCAUCGAGGCAGGUCCUGAGCAGGAAAGAGUAAUGGAGAGAGAGUGGUAUUACAACGACGGAGAUCAUCGAGCCGGUCCCGUCAGUCUCAAAGAGCUGAAGGACUUGUAUACAUCUGGAAAAGUAAAUCACAAGACAAAAGUUUGGGCGCAGGGAUUGGAUGGUUGGAGAAUGAUCUCCCAGGUACCUCAAUUGAAGUGGACCCUGGUGGCUAGAGGGACUCCAGUAGUGAAUGAGAGUGAUCUUGCCACACUCAUCUUGAAUAUUUUGAUUCAAAUGUGCGAGUACUAUCCCAGUAGAGACGCCGACAAUGCAGUGAUCCGUCCCCUCCCCAGGGUAAAACGACUCCUGUCAGAUCUGCAGUGCCUCCCUCACGUUGUCCAGCUUCUUCUCACUUUUGAUCCAGUCCUGGUGGAGAGAGUGGCAACUCUCCUCUGUGAAAUCAUGAAGGAUAACCCUGAUGUAUCGAAGAUAUACCUGACAGGUGUUUUCUAUUUUAUUCUCAUGUACACUGGCUCCAAUGUCCUUCCAAUCGCUCGUUUCCUCCAGUUCACUCACACAAAACAAGCAUUUAGGGGAGAUGAUAAUACUCCCCCUGACAUCAUGCAGAGAAGUAUUCUUGGUCCACUACUUCCAGAUGCAAUGGUCAGUUACCUGGAGAAUCAUGGAGCUGAAAAAUUCGCACAAAUAUUCCUCGGUGAUUACGAUACCCCAGAGGCAAUUUGGAAUGCCGAGAUGAGAAGGAUGUUGAUUGAGAAGGUGGCAGCACACAUUGCCGACUUCUCACCAAGAUUACGAAGCCACACGAUGGCAAGGUACCAGUACAUAGCAAUACCAGCUGUUCGUUAUCCCCAACUGGAGAAAGAGCUCUUCUGUCAGAUAUUUUAUCUUCGACAUCUCUGUGACACUGUUAAAUUUCCCAACUGGCCGAUUCCAGAGCCUGUGCAUUUACUCAAGGAUGUUCUCGAUGCCUGGAAGAAAGAAGUCGAAAAGAAGCCUCCGAUAAUGACUGUGGACGAAGCGUACAGAGUGCUGGGUCUGCAGACAGGACAACAGCAUAACGAGGCAGAUGUUCGUAAAUCCUACUACAAACUCGCCCAGAAAUACCAUCCGGACAAGAAUCCAGAGGGCAGAGACAGAUUCGAGGCUGUGAAUCAAGCCUACGAAUUUCUGUGCAGCAGAAGCUGCUGGACGACAGAUGGGCCCAAUCCUGACAAUAUCGUGCUAAUCUUGAGGACCCAGAGUAUUCUCUUCGACAGGUACACCGAGGAGUUGAGACCGUACAAGUACGCAGGCUAUCCACAAUUGAUUAAGACAAUUAAACUGGAGACUGAGGACGACAGAUUGUUCUCGAAGGCAGCUCCGCUGCUGUCAGCAGCUGCAGAACUCUGUUAUCACACUGUUCACUGCUCGGCACUCAAUGCCGAGGAGCUGAGGCGUGAGGGUGGCCUCGAGGUCCUCCUGGAGGCGUACACCAGGUGUGUCUCCGUGCUGAGUAACUCGAGCAAAUCGAACGAAGUCGCGGUUCAAGUUUGCACUCACAUCACCAGGUGCUUUGCUGUUGCUGGUAAAUUCCGGGGAUGUAGGGAUAAAAUUGUGGAGCUGCCACAGUUGAUCAAGGAUCUCUGCAGAAUUUUGCAUUUCAAGCAUUUGACUAAAUUGUGUUCAGUUGCCACUGAGUGUGUAUCCUCUCUAGCAACUGACAGCAUUCUCCAGAUGCAGUUGCUCCAGUCCGGAGCACUCUGGCACCUACUUUUAUUCAUGUUUAAUUAUGAUUACACUCUGGAGGAGGGCGGAGUGGAGAGAAGUCAAGAAGAGAACAGACAAGAAGUUGCUAAUAAUCUUGCUAAACUAGCAGUUAAAGCUUGUGCUAAACUCGGAGGUUACAUGACUGGAGAUAAUGAGACACCAGUGAAUCCAGUGACUGUUGCUGCUCUCGAGAGUCUUCUCACUCCCUAUCUCGCGAGACAGCUGUCCAAAGACAAGCCUGAAGAGAUCCUCAAGACACUCAAUUCGAAUUGCUCGAAUCCUUACCUCAUCUGGGACAAUGGGACUAGAGCUGAGUUGAAUGAGUAUCUCGAGGGCAAGAGACAGGAGAAACUCAGUGGGAGCAUCAGCCUGGAGCACGACUUCAGUGACUUCAAGUACAGUGCUCAUAACGAUGAGCUUGUCAUAGGGGAGAUAUUUGUCAAAGUGUACAACGAACAGCCGACUUUUCCUAUUGAGAAUCCAAAAGGCUUCACUAUUGAUUUAUUGGACUUUCUGUCAAAGUCCUCCGAGUAUCUGGGAUCCCUCAGCAGCAUGACCCUGUCCAAGAAGGAUCAGGAAAGACUCAAGGCAAUUGUCAUGUCUCUGGAGGCUCUCAAGAACGUCAUCAAGAAUAACCCUGGAAUCGAGAUGCAGUGCAUAGGGCACUUUACCCUGAUAUUCGGACUUUUGAGCUGCAAUAACUUUAAACCAAUUCAGAGGGGCGCUUUAGAGGUCAUCAACAACGUCACGAAGAAUCACGAGUGCGUGAACGACAUAGCUGCAAAUGAAGUCGUUGUCCACCUGCUGUUAACUCUUCACACAUUGAGGGAACAUCAGCUCUUAACUUUGGAAACGUUGUACGCCCUGAUGAGCACAACGAGAAUUGUUAAAGACGCUCUGGCGAAAGGUGCUGUGAUCUACAUUCUCGAUCUAUUCUGCAACUCAAGUAAUAUUCAGAUUCGUGAAGGAGCGGCUGAUCUCCUGGCAAAAAUGUCGUCUGAUAAACUGGCAGGGCCGAAGGUCAAGCUGGAUCUAUCCAAGUUUCUUCCAAGAUUAUUCAGUGAGGCAAUUCGUGAUGCACCAAAACAAUGUGUUCACAUGUUUGAAACGAAACAUGAAAAUCCAGAAUUGAUUUGGGAUGACGAUGCCAAGGGCAAAGUAUCGAGAAUGGUAGCGGAGUUGAAGGAUGAUUACUACUCGUUACAGAGGAGAAAUCCCAAUGGUGUAUUGAAAUUACCAGAGCCACCGAAUAAUAUUGAUGUUGCUACUAAUGAGCCUGUUGUUGGGGGUGUUUAUCUCAGAUUAUUCGUUGCCAGUCCAGCUUGGGCACUGAGGAAGCCAAAGGAGUUUCUGAGUGAUUUGUUGGACACCACGUUAUCACUUAUGUCAAGGGAUAAAACCGAUGCUGAUAUGCUGGAACUAACGACUCAGGCACUCGUUUGUCUUCUUCAGGCUCAACCUGCACUGGCUGAUCAGGUGCCCUCGUUGGGGCAUAUACCCAGGCUGUGCAGACAGAUGGCCACGAGAAAUAGCCAGCCACCAGUCUACAAAGCGGCCAUACUUAUUUUACAUCAGCUAGCUACCAGUGAGAUUUGCAUAAAUUCAAUAUGCCAGACUGAUUGUAUUAGUCCACUUAAGCUUGCCAUGCAGUCCAGGAAGGAUAUGAUCGCAGUUGCCUGCGAGACACUCAAUAGACUAUUUUCAACGAAUGAGGAUCGUCUCAUUAAGCAGGCUCUGGAAGCGGAAAUGGUACCUUAUUUGCUGAAUAUUCUGGAGGGCAGACUCGACCUCAUCGACAAUCCAGCCACAACUAAAGCUCAGAUUGUCAAGGCUUUGAAAGCCAUGACGAGGAGUAUUCUCCUUGGAGAGAGGGUGAAUUCCAUUCUGGAGAAAUCAUCGGUUUGGGCUGAGUACAAGGAUCAGAAGCAUGAUUUGUUUAUUUCUAAUGCUCCUACCGCUGGCUAUCUCACAGCAGGUAUACCAGUAUCAGCUGGAUAUUUGACAGCAGGUCCAAGUGCUCAAAUACCGAGUGCACCUCCACCGGUAGAUAGAGAAGACAGGCUGAAUCACAGGAACGAUCAUGUAUGAUACACCUAGCCCCUCCACAAUAAUUAACUAAAAUUAUCCAAACAGUCGAGCCGACUCUCGAGCUUUGACUCAAUGUAAAGUUUACACGUAUUACAAGAAAACGAAAGAUGAAAUUAUGAGAGAGACAUUGAGUUGUCCUAGUUAUUUUAUA